rnacentral:piRNA from 1 species
UGCACUGCAUGUUGACUCAGAGACACAGA